UACGGAGGGGGCUAGCGUUGUUCGGAAUUACUGGGCGUAAAGCGCACGUAGGCGGCUUUGUAAGUUAGAGGUGAAAGCCCGGGGCUCAACUCCGGAAUUGCCUUUAAGACUGCAUCGCUAGAAUUGUGGAGAGGUGAGUGGAAUUCCGAGUGUAAAGGUGAAAUUCGUAGAUAUUCGGAAGAACACCAGUGGCGAAGGCGACUCACUGGACACAUAUUGACGCUGAGGUGCGAAAGCGUGGGGAGCAAACAGG
rnacentral:rRNA from 1 species